UACGAAGGGGGCUAGCGUUGUUCGGAAUUACUGGGCGUAAAGCGAGCGUAGGUCGCUUGAUAAGUCAGUGGUGAAAGCCCAAGGCUCAACCUUGGAACUGCCAUUGAAACUGUCAAGCUGGAAUCUCAGAGGGGAUAGCGGAAUUCCAAAUGUAGAGGUGAAAUUCGUAGAUAUUUGGAGGAACACCGGUGGCGAAGGCGGCUAUCUGGAUGAGUAUUGACACUGAGGCUCGAAAGUGUGGGGAUCAAACAGG
rnacentral:rRNA from 1 species